rnacentral:rRNA from 1 species
AGUGGGGAAUAUUGGGCAAUGGGCGAAAGCCUGACCCAGCAACGCCGCGUGAUUGAAGAAGGCUUUCGGGUUGUAAAAAUCUGUCCUUGGGGACGAAGAAGUGACGGUACCCAAGGAGGAAGCCCCGGCUAACUAUGUGCCAGCAGCCGCGGUAAUACAUAGGGGGCAAGCGUUAUCCGGAAUUAUUGGGCGUAAAGGGUGCGUAGGCGGUCAUUUAAGUCUUUGGUGUAAGUGCAAGGCUCAACCUUGUGAUGCUAAGGAAACUGGAUGACUUGAGUGUGAUAGAGGUAAGUGGAAUUCCAUGUGUAGCGGUAAAAUGCGUAAAUAUAUGGAGGAACACCAGUGGCGAAGGCGGCUUACUGGGUCACAACUGACGCUGAGGCACGAAAGCGUGGGGAGCAAACAGGAUUAGAUACCCUGGUAGUCCACGCCGUAAACGAUGAGUACUAAGUGUUGGAGAAAUUCAGUGCUGUAGUUAACGCAAUAAGUACUCCGCCUGAGUAGUACGUACGCAAGUAUG